rnacentral:rRNA from 1 species
GACGAACGCUGGCGGCGCGCCUAACACAUGCAAGUCGAACGAGCGAGAGAGAGCUUGCUUUCUCGAGCGAGUGGCGAACGGGUGAGUAACGCGUGAGGAACCUGCCUCAAAGAGGGGGACAACAGUUGGAAACGACUGCUAAUACCGCAUAAGCCCACGGCUCGGCAUCGAGCAGGGGGAAAAGGAGCAAUCCGCUUUGAGAUGGCCUCGCGUCCGAUUAGCUAGUUGGUGAGGUAACGGCCCACCAAGGCGACGAUCGGUAGCCGGACUGAGAGGUUGAACGGCCGCAUUGGGACUGAGACACGGCCCAGACUCCUACGGGAGGCAGCAGUGGGGAAUAUUGCACAAUGGGGGAAACCCUGAUGCAGCGACGCCGCGUGGAGGAAGAAGGUCUUCGGAUUGUAAACUCCUGUUGUUGGGGAAGAUAAUGACGGUACCCAACAAGGAAGUGACGGCUAACUACGUG